AGGCGUGUGGCGUAACCUGGCAUCGCAACGGUCUUAUGAGCCGUCAACGCACCCUUCUGAUAAAGGGGAGAUUGGGGGUUCGAAUCCCCCCACGCCUA
rnacentral:tRNA from 1 species